GAUGAAUGCUGGCGGCGUGCCUAAUACAUGCAAGUCGAGCGGUAAGGCCCUUCGGGGUACACGAGCGGCGGACGGCUGAGUAACGCGUGGGAACAUGCCCCCAAAGUGAGGGAUAACGCACCGAAAGGUGUGCUAAUACCGCAUAUGGUCUUCGGAUUAAAGGAUUUAUCCGCUUUGGGAGUGGCCCGCGUACGAUUAGAUUGUUGGUGAGGUAACGGCUCACCAAGUCGACGAUCGUUAACUGGUCUGAGAGGAUGAUCAGUCAGACUGGAACUGAGACACGGUCCAGACUCCUACGGGAGGCAGCAGUAAGGAAUCUUCCACAAUGGGCGAAAGCCUGAUGGAGCAACGCCGCGUGCAGGAUGAAGGCCCUCGGGUCGUAAACUGCUUUAUGAGUGAAGAAUAUGACGGCAACUCAUGAAUAAGCACCGGCUAACUACGUAGCCAGCAGCCGCGGU
rnacentral:rRNA from 1 species